AUUGAACGCUGGCGGCAGGCUUAACACAUGCAAGUCGAACGGUAACAGGAAGAAAGCUUGCUUUCUUUGCUGACGAGUGGCGGACGGGUGAGUAAUGCUUGGGAAUCUGUUUUAUGGAGGGGGAUAACUACGGGAAACUGUAGCUAAUACCGCGUAAUAUCGAGAGAUUAAAUGUGUGGGACCGUAAGGCCACAUGCCAUGAAGUGAGCCCAAGUGGGAUUAGAUAGUUGGUGAGGUAAUGGCUCACCAAGUCGGCGAUCUCUAGCUGGUCUGAGAGGAUGACCAGCCACACUGGGACUGAGACACGGCCCAGACUCCUACGGGAGGCAGCAGUGGGGAAUAUUGCACAAUGGGCGCAAGCCUGAUGCAGCCAUGCCGCGUGAAUGAAGAAGGCCUUCGGGUUGUAAAGUUCUUUCGGUGGUGAGGAAGGUUGACGUGUUAAUAGCACGUUGAUUUGACGUUAGCCACAGAAGAAGCACCGGCUAACUCCGUGCCAGCAGCCGCGGUAAUACGGAGGGUGCGAGCGUUAAUCGGAAUAACUGGGCGUAAAGGGCACGCAGGCGGUGACUUAAGUGAGGUGUGAAAGCCCUGGGCUUAACCUAGGAAUUGCAUUUCAUACUGGGUCGCUAGAGUAUUUUAGGGAGGGGUAGAAUUCCACGUGUAGCGGUGAAAUGCGUAGAGAUGUGGAGGAAUACCGAAGGCGAAGGCAGCCCCUUGGGAAUAUACUGACGCUCAUGUGCGAAAGCGUGGGGAGCAAACAGG
rnacentral:rRNA from 1 species